GAGCAAUGAGGAUGACAGCGCAUCCAGUGAUGCCGGGAGCAUCACGACCGUCUGAUUAUCAGAUGACCUCAGCCGCCCCUAAGCUC